rnacentral:rRNA from 1 species
AGAGUUUGAUCAUGGCUCAGGAUGAACGCUGGCGGCGUGCCUAACACAUGCAAGUCGAACGAAGCGCCUGAUCAGAUUUCUUCGGAAUGAAGAUUUAGCGACUGAGUGGCGGACGGGUGAGUAACGCGUGGGCAACCUGCCUCAUACAGGGGGAUAACAGCCGGAAACGGCUGCUAAUACCGCAUAAGCGCACAGGACCGCAUGGUCCGGUGUGAAAAACUCCGGUGGUAUGAGAUGGGCCCGCGUCUGAUUAGCCAGUUGGCGGGGCAGCGGCCCACCAAAGCGACGAUCAGUAGCCGACCUGAGAGGGUGACCGGCCACAUUGGGACUGAGACACGGCCCAAACUCCUACGGGAGGCAGCAGUGGGGAAUAUUGCACAAUGGGGGAAACCCUGAUGCAGCGACGCCGCGUGAGCGAAGAAGUAUUUCGGUAUGUAAAGCUCUAUCAGCAGGGAAGAAGAAAGUGACGGUACCUGACUAAGAAGCACCGGCUAAAUACGUGCCAGCAGCCGCGGUAAUACGUAUGGUGCAAGCGUUAUCCGGAUUUACUGGGUGUAAAGGGAGCGCAGGCGGUACGGCAAGUCUGAUGUGAAAGCCCGGGGCUCAACCCCGGUACUGCAUUGGAAACUGUCGGACUAGAGUGUCGGAGGGGUAAGCGGAAUUCCUAGUGUAGCGGUGAAAUGCGUAGAUAUUAGGAGGAACACCAGUGGCGAAGGCGGCUUACUGGACGACAACUGACGCUGAGGCUCGAAAGCGUGGGGAGCAAACAGGAUUAGAUACCCUGGUAGUCCACGCCGUAA